CAGCCCACUAACUCCAGUACUCCACCGUCCCAAACCCUAAAAUCCCUUCUCCCAUCCCCUAGGCCGCCGCCACCACUCCCACCCGAUAUUGCUCCCAUCUCCCAUCCCGAUAUGGAAUCUCUCCUAUCCUGCUCUCUCUCCCGUCCAUUCAUCCUCCACCUCUCGAUCUAGCACAGCGGCAUGGCACGAGCAGCGCGCGGCGGUGCGGCAUAGGCAGGAUCACGGCAGUGCUGCCCACCUCUGGCCUCCACAUCUUCCUCCCCGACGGCGGCUUGGAACAACGCUCGGUUCCGCUCCCGCGUCCUCAUGCGCACGGACUGGAUCCCAGCGGUGCAGUCCACCGGCCUCCGCCUCUUCCUCCCCGACCGUGGCUCAGCUCGACCCGCGGCCGCCCUCCCCGACCGUGGCUCAGUUCGACACACUGCUGCCUUCCCCUACUGCUGGAGGUCGCGCCACUGCCCUCCUCGUCGUCACCACCGGCGCGGGCGCGCGGCGGUCGCAACCCCAUGGAGGAGUUGAGCGGGCGCGUGAAGGCGCUGUUGGUGGGAUUCAGCUCGUGGAUGGUGAAGCGGCCCAUCCAUGUCGAGGCGGCAGUGACCACAGCGAUGGGGCCGGGGCGCUCGGGUUCCCCAUGGGCUCGCUCACUGCCAAUGGCGGGUCGCCGUUUGUCGUGUCACCGGCCAUGGCAUCUUUCAAGCAGGCGCAGUUGGUACAUCUCCCACCUGAUUGAUGCGGACACCACUGUCCUCGAGCUGAACAGGGUGAGUAGAUUCUGAGCUGUUUAAGGUGUGGACUGUUGUGAGUUGUUGAAGGUAUGGACUGUUGUGUGGUUCCAGUAAAAUUAUAACCGUACGGAUGUUUCUGUGUGCAUGAAAUCUGCGUUGUACCAUGUCCCUGAUAUCAUGCAUUUCAUCGAUACAGUACACUACUAGAGCUGCUAUCUCUUGGUGUUCAUUGGUUCUGAUUGAACUUGUAUCUUAAUAACCAUUAAGUAAUUGCUUUUUCCAUGUAAUAAAUUAAUUUGUAGUUGUGCAUUUUCUUCACAUGCACAAGUCUUACAAAUAUACUGGUUUAUUUCAAUAGUAUUUCCUGUUAAAAAUAAUAGUACUCUCAGUACUGGUCAAGUGUGAAAAACCCCUAGCCAUGAGCAUCUAGAAUCGUUAUGAACUUGCAGCAUAAACAUUGAGAUCACUUGGCAAGCAAGUAUAUUUAGUAUUGUACUAGUAUUUGUUAGCGCUUUGAGAUGAACUUGCAGCAUAAACAUUGAGUUAGAUGAAAAACCCUUCGUGCUGAUUUUGAUUUAAACAUUUAGUUAAUAUAGUACACAACAUUACAUAUUUUUAUUUGAACUUUGGCUAUGUUUAUGCCCAGUUUGUGUUAAUUAUCUUGGAGAUAGUCUCUGUCACUUGUUUACUGUCAUUCUUGUUUGUUAAGGAAUGGUGUGCUACAGGGUAUAUGCUGGCAGAAUUUGCUGUACAUAUUUUGCAGCUUAUCGGUUGUACACAAAAUUUUGAUCCAGAAAAACUAAGUACUUGUAUAGGCGGGAACUGCUUCCCGUCGCAAAAAUUGUCGCAAAAAAUGAAUGAAGUACCUGUUUCUCUCACGUUUGUUUGCAUUUUUUAGUACAUUAACGUUCAAUCCAGCAAAACUAAGUAUCUGUGCAGGCGCACAGCUUCCUCUCACAAAAAAAGUAUGUAUCUGUUUCUAUCACGUUUAUUUGUUUUUUCUUUGACAAGUCUAAUGUUUGUUAGGCUACCAUUCCAUCUGAGCCUAGCGCCCCAUCUUGCUAGUAGCAGCCUAGCAGGCCAGCGAUCGUAGUCGGCAAGCCACAUGCACUUAACGACGACCGAAC
rnacentral:rRNA from 1 species